AAGGUGAUGGUAGAGAAGAUGAAGGAAAAGAGGAUGGGAAGGCGAUGGUAGAGAAGAUGAAGGAAAAGAGGAUGGGAAGGCGAUGGUAGAGAAGAUGAAGGAAAAGAGGAUGGGAAGGCGAUGGUAGAGAAGAUGAAGGAAAAGAGGAUGGGAAGGCUCUGGUAGAGAAGAUGAAGGAAAAGAGGAUGGGAAGGCGAUGGUAGAGAAGAUGAAGGAAAAGAGGAUGGGAAGGCUCUGCUAGAGAAGAUGAAGGAAAAGAGGAUGGGAAGGCUCUGCUAGAGAAGAUGAAGGAAAAGAGGAUGGGAAGGCUCUGCUAGAGAAGAUGAAGGAAAAGCAGACGGAAAGGUGCUGCUAGAGACUGCUCCAACAUUACGCGAUGAUGAGACCGGAAUUUUCUUGGAUUUGAAAGGAGGAGAACACCAUGGGGGUGUGUGUGAGGAUUCAAAGGCAGCUUGCAAGGGAAAUCUUCAUGAGAGACCUGCAGUCCCAUCCCAUCUUCCCUUCCUUUGGAGACUGAGAGGCUUUCUGUUGUGCUUGCUGUUGCAGAAGUCAAGGACAAAAGCAGUUGGUGGAUGGCAGGAUGCUAAAUGGC